CAUCAAUAACUGAAGUUUUCAUAAAUAAUUUUAAAUCCCAUGACAAGAAAGUAAUGGUGGAAAGGUGAAGACCAGCUCUGUAGAGUGGGCUUAUCCACUCUGGUAGACCUAACCUUUUAUCAUUCACAAGCUUGGCAUAACUGUACUACUGAUACAGAUCAGUUUUAUCACACCACUGCAAUGUUUUCCAGACUUCCGUACGUUGGGCAGAAAACGUGAAAAUGAAGCAAAGCGAGGCCCAAAUAAUUUCCACUUAUAUUAUUAAAGAUGGGCUUCUGAGGACCACUGUUGAUUUUGUCUUUAUGCACUUCAUAUUGGGUGCUUUUCUUGGAAAAUCUCAGCUGAAACCCUCUCCAAAAAACCAAAAAAAAAUCACCGGUGGAAAGAGAAACCAAAAGCAGUGAUAUGAAUGUAUCAAACAUGGCAAAAAAAACAGAAACCAAUUUUUAAAAAAGGUUUGAUUUUCUCAUUCCUCUUAAUGUGAAAGUAAAUCUCAUUAUUACAGCCUGAAAAAUGGCAUUUUCUUUUUAAUACGAGGAUUGUAAUAUGUUUUUAAUUACUUUCAUUCCUUUUCUUGCUGCUUCCAUGAGCCUGAUGACAGCAGAGAUAACCGGUGCCACAGCGGACAGGCCUGUAGGCACACCUUAUGCAGUGGGAAUGCAGAGCCCACGGCACAUUAAACUACAUGGAAUAAUCCCUCCCUGCAGGACUGACCCUGUAACAGACCUGAGCUCUUAGCUGGAAAGCCUACAUAUAUAUACAGCAAAAUCUGAAUGUCCAGCCUGUGUGCACCAAGAUGGCUCCAUGAUGCAAGCUGAAGCGUAGUAAGUACAGACGACUAAAAGCACAUUUCCAUCCUUUCUGCUUCCCAGUACAUGCUGCUUUGGACAGCUCAUCCUGGAUCUGCAAAGCUGGAAAACAAGAAUCAAGGAAAAAGAAAGCCAUUCUGAAAACAAGAGUACUGAAGAAAAGCCAACAUGAUAAGCUCCCAACCUGGGCCGAGGCAAAUGGCUGAGCCACCAGCACUGGAAAAAAAAAGGGUCAAGGAGUUGAGCUGUAGUGCCCCAUUUAGGGAGCUAUUUGAACCCAAAGUGCUACAAAUAGUAAUGAAGAGUUCAGGGCAUUAGGGCUUGACAAGUCUUUCCUGCCUUCAAGGACCAAAACCCCUUCGGUUUCGGUUGAUUUCAUUGCAAAGGAAUUAAGAACUGCAGUAAAGAAGUGAAUUUACAUUACAGUGAAUUUACAUUAAAAUAAAUUAAAUAGA